rnacentral:rRNA from 1 species
UACAGAGGUUGCAAGCGUUGUUCGGAUUUAUUGGGCGUAAAGGGUGCGUAGGCGGCUUUGUAAGUCAGUGGUGAAAUACUCUGGCUUAACUAGAGGGGUGCCAUUGAUACUGCGGAGCUUGAGUACAGAUGAGGUAGGCGGAAUUGACGGUGUAGCGGUGAAAUGCGUAGAUAUCCGAAGGAACAUCAGUGGCGAAAGCGGCUUCCUGGACCAGAACUGACGAUCAGGCACGAAAGCGUGGGGAGCAAACAGG